GAGUUUGAUCUUGGCUCAGAUUGAACGCUGGCGGCAUGCCUUACACAUGCAAGUCGAACGGCAGCACGGAGCUUGCUCCUGGUGGCGAGUGGCGAACGGGUGAGUAAUGCAUCGGAACGUAUCCUGGAGUGGGGGAUAACGUAGCGAAAGUUACGCUAAUACCGCAUAUUCUGUGAGCAGGAAAGCGGGGGGACCUUCGGGGCCUCGCGCUCUUGGAGCGGCCGAUGUCGGAUUAGCUAGUUGGUGAGGUAAAGGCUCACCAAGGCGACGAUCCGUAGCAGGUCUGAGAGGAUGAUCUGCCACACUGGAACUGAGACACGGUCCAGACUCCUACGGGAGGCAGCAGUGGGGAAUUUUGGACAAUGGGGGCAACCCUGAUCCAGCCAUGCCGCGUGAGUGAAGAAGGCCUUCGG
rnacentral:rRNA from 1 species